UCAAAAGUGCUAUCUAGACCAGUGUUUCUCAACUUGUGGGUUGCAACCCUUAAGAGGUCAAACCACAGGUUGAAUAAGAUCAUGGGAAAACAUAUUUGCAUUCCGAUUCAUGACACUAGCAAAAUUACAGCCAUGAAGUAACAACAAAGAUAAUUUUAUGGUUGGUGGGGUCAUCAUACAUGAGGAACUCUAUUAAAAGCGUUUCAGCAUCAAGAAGAUUAAGAAUCAUCCAGAUUCUAGAUGGAGCCCACAGUCGUGUGUGAAAACCCAUUUGAAAGACUCGAGUUUUAAGCGUACAGGAUCACUGCCCACAUCGCGAGGAAGGGAAGGGUUAAGAGUCUCCUUCAUAGGUCCAAGGGCAACAGGGGCUCCCGCUAGCAAAGUGACCUAGGAAGAGAACCUCGGGGACACUCCGCGAACCUCCGAAAGCACCGGGACCAGGCUGGGUCUGGCCAUCGGGAGCGCAAGGCACUGGCUCCCGCUCCAGCGCGCCAAGCCGUUAGCACCGCCCCUUCCCGCCGGCUCCACCCACCGCCGCCUAGUCGCUAACCCUGGCCGCUGGGUGCGCGGCGCGUUCUUAAACCCCGCCUCCCAGGCCAGGGCGCGCUCUCCUUGUCGCCCGGCUCUAGGCGGUUCCGUUAGCGGCGGGAGGGAAAACCGCCCCCGGCGUCCCCGCCUCCGCUGCUAACGCUUUCCUCCCUACUCCCCCUGCGACCACCCCGCAGCCCGCUACGGAGGCCCCCGAAGUACAAACGUCCCCCACGCUCCGAGCCCCAUCGGAGGCUGAGUCCAGUCUAACUCCUCGGGCCCUAAGCUCAUUUUUUUUUCAUUGUUUUUUGUUGUUGUUGUUUCUUGUUUUUCUUUUGGUCAGGAAUUCGCUCUGGUGAGUUCCCUAAGGCGGCAGAAACUUCAGCCUCUUCACGGUAGUAAAAGUUGGUUUCCCCUCCCCCGCUGCCGCCCAGGCCUCCCGCAUUCCUUCCCUCCCGCCUCUCCGGAUCGGGGCGGGCGGGGGAGGAGGGAGCCAGAGCGCCUGCGCAGGGAGGCCGCUUUCCAUCCGGGUCCCUGUCCGUGCGGUGCAGCAGGUCGGUAGGCGGGAAAUGGCGACUGGCUGAAGGAGCUGGUUCUGUUGCUGCUGAGGGAUAAGCGGGAAAGACACCACCUAUUGCGCAGUCGGGACCAUCGCCGGAGCCCGAAGACACUUUUCUGUCGUCACAGUGAAGGUUUACAUGUGGCACCCGUAAAAGAUGAAGCUGAGAACACGGAAGGCUUCUCAGCAGUCCAGUCCAAUCCAGACACAGCGCACUGCCAGAGCAAAGAGGAAAUACUCAGAGGUUGAUGAUAGCUUGCCUUCAGGAGGAGAAAAACCAUCAAAGAAUGAAACCGGCUUAUUGUCUUCAAUUAAAAAGUUCAUUAAAGGAAGCACACCCAAGGAAGAGAGAGAAAAUCCUUCGAAGCGGAGUAGAAUUGAACGUGAUAUAGAUAAUAAUUUAAUCACAUCAACACCAAGAACCGGAGAAAAGCCUGACAAACAGUUGUCUCGAGUAAGACGGAAAAGUCCAGUCAAUGGAGAAGCUGGUAGUUAUGAAAUGACAAAUCAACAUAUAAAGCAAAAUGGAAAAUUAGAAGAUAACCCUUGCUCUGGUAGUCCUCCGAGGACUACAUUGUUGGGGACCAUAUUUUCGCCUGUCUUCAACUUUUUUUCACCAGCAAAUAAAAAUGGAACGUCAGGCUCAGAUUCCCCAGGACAGGCUGUGGAAGCUGAGGAGAUAGUGAAACAACUUGACAUGGAACAGGUGGAUGAAAUUACUACCAGCACCACGUCAGCUAAUGGAGCGGCUUACUCAAAUCAAGCAGUUCAAGUGAGGCCAUCACUAAAUAAUGGUUUAGAAGAAGCAGAAGAAACAGUUACCCGGGAUAUCCCACCCCUUACAGCACCAGUAACUCCAGAGAGUGGGUACUCGUCAGCCCAUGCAGAGGCCACCUAUGAAGAAGACUGGGAAGUAUUUGACCCCUAUUAUUUCAUCAAACAUGUUCCGCCUCUGACAGAAGAACAGCUAAAUAGGAAACCUGCUCUUCCUUUGAAAACAAGAAGCACACCAGAGUUCUCCCUGGUCUUAGAUCUGGAUGAGACACUAGUGCACUGCAGUCUGAAUGAGCUAGAAGAUGCAGCGCUCACUUUUCCAGUCCUUUUCCAAGAUGUCAUUUAUCAGUUUCUGUUCCUGCAGAUCCACCAAUUCAAGACUCUAGGUCAUCUCACUCCCUCUUCCAUCCAGAAGAUGACUGCUAUCCACAAGCAGAACUGAAUCAAAAGACAUUUUUCACUUAGCUCUUGAGCUGAAACACCUCCUCAAUGACCUUCCUCUGUCUCCAUCAAGAACUGGAGCUCAGUUUUUUGAAGAUGUAAUAGAGCUACUCAGCCCAAAUGUGGCUGAUUGAAGACAAAGAAGAUACCUCAUAUGUCUCACCACAGUGCAUCAAACGCAACUGUGUUGUCCAUCUCCUCAUUCUGUACAGUAAGGCAGGGGCAUCUGAUUUUUUGACCGUAUUCACCAUUAAGACUUUAGCCAGUGAGUGGCUUUCUGAGGAUCAGUAAAAUCAACAAACUUUGGGUCAGCUGUCCAGAAAUCAGACUAUGGUUUAUGUGAGAUUAAGACCAUUCUUCAGGGAAUUCCUGGAACGAAUGUCUCAGAUGUAUGAGAUCAUUCUUUUUACUGCUUCUAAGAAGGUGUAUGCAGACAAGUUACUGAACAUACUAGACCCUAAAAAGCAACUGGUCAGGCACCGGCUUUUCCGUGAACAUUGUGUUUGUGUACAAGGAAACUAUAUAAAGGACUUGAAUAUCCUUGGGAGAGAUCUUUCCAAAACUAUAAUAAUUGACAACUCACCACAAGCCUUUGCCUAUCAGCUUUCUAAUGGAAUCCCUAUAGAAAGCUGGUUUAUGGAUAAAAAUGACAAUGAACUCCUAAAAUUGAUUCCAUUUCUGGAGAAGCUUGUAGAACUGAAUGAAGAUGUCCGGCCUCACAUCAGAGACAGAUUUCGAUUGCAUGAUUUGCUGCCCCCAGAUUAAGUUCAGAGACUUGUCAUAUCACUGAAGGGGGGGAGAGAAUGCAGGACCCUUUUGGACUAAGACAAAAACAUUGCCAUUACUGUUGAAAUUUUGCAUUUUUGUACCCCGUCUUGCUUUCUUAUCUUUGGUGCCCAAUAAUAAUCAAGGGUUACAGAAAGAGACUCUCGGAUUGAACACAUACAGUGGGUAGGCUAAAACAGAAGCGUCUGUAGAGUAGACAGCUCCAGUGAGACUCUAUGUAUAGGACAUCUGCAGCUCAUAACGAAUUCUGUUUCUGCCACCAGCAGUUUGACCUGUAGUUACACAGGAUUUUAUGAUAAUAACAGAGAUGAAAGUGGACUUUCAUUCUCUCUCUGUUUGGUGCUCUCAGUGGGUUUGUAGCCACUCUUCUGUUACUUCACUAUUCUCAUUUCAACAGGAAUGGCCAGUAAAAGUUGUUUUAUUUUUCCUGUUAAGGUUUAUAACCUUUUUACAUUUCUGACCUGUAUUAGAUUAGAAUCUCAUGAUGCAUUCCUUUUAGUUAAGGCGCUUCAUAGUUUUCUGGAAAUAGUCAAUUUUUAGUUUUUUUUUUAAUUAUACAUUUGAAUGGCCGUUUUCCUGCUUUGUCUGCCUGCAUAUUGUAUAUUUGUUUAAAAAUAUUCUCUACUUUUAGUCCAUGUUAAGUUUCAUUUAAAAGAUGCAUUUAUAUUUUGUUCUGUAAUAUUCUACUGUAGGUGAAAUCUUCAAAAAUCAAGAGACUGGGUAGUUAAGAAUAUAUGAAUGACUAAUAUUCAAAUGAUUUGAAUGAACCAUUGUGAUGACAUGUAUUCCAGAUGGUAAUAUCUUGCAAUGGCACACGUUUAAUGGAUAAAGGUAUACCUCAGACUUCACUGUGCUCACUAGCCUUUGAGGAGAACGAGUUCAGGCACCUGUUGGGCUUGAUUCGGUUACUGCUGCCUUUGGGUUUUCUCCAGGAAGGAAGUAUUCAGCACAGUGACUCAGUAUUUUUACUUUGCAUGGGCUGGUAGUACCUCUGUUAUGCUCCCAGUUACAAUCAGUUUAAAGCUCUGUGUAACAGCUGUGGUACCUAACGGUGGCUAUGCAUAAUCCUGUGGCACAGUACACUCCCGGGCCACCAGUGCAGUCAAUGUGCUCAUAGUGGUUUUCUAUGCUAUAUGAAAAUAAGUCGUCACGCCUUGGUUCUCUAAUGCAGCUACCACAAGAGGUUGAUAUUUUUAUAGUGGCGUGUAAUCUCCUUUUCAGGAGGCUUUUUAUGGAAGGUAGAAUUUGUAAAAGUCAGUAUGCUUUGCCUCUCAACUGCAUUAACAUGCCGCAGGCUCAGACUGUUUUUGUGUAAAGGAUGUCAAAGAACGGCACUUUUUCUAAAGAGAAGUUUGAUAUUUUGUAUGCUUGUUAAGAAAGUACAGUAUUGGAAAUUAAAGGUGGACAAUUGAUAAUUGAGGAGUAUGUCAGUUAAUUUUUUAUGUAUAUUACCUGUUUACUUGUACAACUUAUUGUACAAAUUACAUGCAGCUUCAUUUUCAAAUGAAUCCUUAAAAUAAGGAAAUCUUUUUAGGAAAACAUUUAAUUUUUGUAUUUUUGAUUUUAAAGGCAUGAGUUGUCAGUUUUCAGUGUAUUAAUGAAGAUUUUAACUUUUCAUCAGGUUGAGUGUUUUCUUACUAUAUUAUCUGUUGUGUAUGUAGUUAGCAUAUUGUGUCACUGAACUGUUUAAAAAUCUAGCAUGUAGAGCAAGCCUGUUUUGUGGAAAAUCCUUAUUCAUUAAAAAAAAUAAUCAUGGCAGAUUUUCUGCAAAAAAAAAAAAAGCAAAAGCAUUUGCAAUUCAGAUUUUUUUUAUUUAAAAAAAAAAGGUAUUUUGCUUGCAGGAACAAUACUACAGAUUCAUUUUAAUGAGAAUCUUCGAAAUGUAUUUAUCUUUAGGGCACCUGGGCAUCUUUAUGCUGUUUGUCUUAUGUCUUUCUUGAAAUAAAAUGUAAAUAUGUUACCUUUACAUAUGCUCUUUCUCAAAAUUGUGAACCUAGUUAAUAUCUUCUUGCCCCCAUCAUUUUUAUGCUUAUACAGCAAACCCCAAAACCUGUACAAGAUUGAAUUUUUGACAAACAUAAUUGUUGACAAUGUACUUGAUCAGGAAUUAAGUAAAUACAGUCUCAAAGCCCUUCCCACAUCUUAAAAGGGGAAACACUUAUACCAUAGUGCCUGUGGGCACUUUAAUAAUAAAAAAGCAGGCCUGUGCCAGGGGAAUGAGCUCCUACUCAGCCAGUAGGUGAGUCAACAAUACACUUUUGUAGAGAAAUGUAACGUGGGAAAGUUUACAUGGCCUGAGAGUUGAGACCAAAUUAAUAGAUUAUUUUUUUCUAUUACUUUGAGUAAUUCUAAAGUUGUUGAUAACAAAGUUUAAAGAAGAUUAUAAAGAAGUUUGCUGGCUUCUUUUCAUUUUAAUAGGUUUAUCUUUCAAUCAUAUCUUUUCUUUGUUGGUAACUGUAGAACGCUUCCUUUUAGUUAAUCAGAGGUGUGUACUUUUUUAAUUGCAAUGUGCCCAGCCUGUCAGUGCACACAGCACACAUGACUAUAGUAAAUGCAGGGGCCAUGGGUCCAUGAAGCACACAGCAAGCUACCUGUGUACACAUUACAACUCUUAAGGACCUAUUAAAAUUGUGCUAUUUCCAGUUAUGAAUGUUUGACUUUUAAGACAUUCUUUUAAAUAUUUGUAUCAUUGUUAGAGAAUAUUUGCUUGGUUGUAUUUUUUAGACCCAUGUAAUAUAUGUAGUCCUGACCAGAUUUAUUACCAUUUUUCUCUGGGUCCUAAAAGAGAUCGAUGACAAUUCGUAACCAGAAAUUGUUUUAUAUUUGCUAGUAUGUAUAUUUAUUUAUCCAAUGGCUUUAUUUGUUUCCCAAAAUUGUUUUGGGACUUGUUGAAAGCAUUGUGUAACUUCUAUAAAUGGCUAUUUUCUUGUAACUGUCAGUGAUAUGGAUGUGUACAUUGUUUUUAUAUAUAUAUACAUAUAUAUAUCUAUAUAUUUCUGGGUUUUUUGUUUUUUUGGUUUUUUAGGGUUUGACUUUUUUGUUUUUAAGUUACCUUUGCCAAUGACUUUCUGUUAGCUUUUCCUUUCAUUCAGCCUUCUAACAGAGCUCAUUUUUAUUAUGUUGUCAACUUUCCUGUAAGAGAGACUUCAUCUCAUCAGUGACGAAGGCAUUCCAUUAUUCCUACAAGUCGUACAGCAAGCACAGACUCUUCACAAGGAUCACAGCUCUUCCGUGUGUCAGUCACUUAAAGGACACUGAAGCCUUCACUCCUGUACUGAUACGAUGGUGUUAUACACUACGUCACUAGCUAGUUAAGGUUUUCUGACCUGACUUCUCUUUGUCUUCCUAGGUAUUUAUUUGUUACCUCUUUAAAUCUUGUAUGUCUAAAUUAACUUAGAAUAGUUUCCCACCGAAUAACUAUGCCAAGAACUAGGAAAGAAUGUUUAUUUUAUUUCCCCUUAUAGGGGAAGAGUGGACUGGGAACAAAAGUGUAAGGCCAAAAGGCCUUCGGUUAUCAAUCAUUCACUUUCUUAUUCCUCUCAUGGGCUGUAUUUGCCUAAAGGUUUGGGGGGAGGGGGCUGCUUUUUUUUCAGUGCUGAUGUAUUUGACUAUGCCAUUGCUUCUCAUGUCUUCCCUUGAGUUGAAAGCCUGCUAGGACUUUGCAUAAAAUACCUAAAAGUUCUCAGAGUAAGAACCACAAAACUCAGUACCUUAUAUUCAAACGUUGCUUAAAUUAUUGAAAUCUAAGUCACAUUAGAAUACAUUUUCAUAUUCAUAUUUCUGUUAUCUUGAAUUGAAAUUCCAUUGUAAAUCAAUUUAGUCUUUUAGAAAGUUUAUUCUAGCAUAUGGUUUUAAUAUUAGUAUUUUAAGAUAAUAUAGUUGACUACCAAACCUACCUGCUAAUCAGAAUUUCACUGAGGAGCUUUUAAACUGCACAGCAUCCUGAAGCCUGGGAAGCCACCUCGUCUAUACAGCAGGCUUGGAGAGUUCUGUGUUUUUAAAGCUUUCCCAGUGAUUUAAAUAGAUAACUUUGGUAUAUCCUGUUUUAAAUAAUGUGGUUUGAGAAUAGGUUGCAAAAUUUGACCAGCCAUAUUUCCCUGUCUCUCUGUCUCUGUCUCUCUUUCUCUCUCUGGUAGUUUUUUUUUUUUUUUUUUUUUAAGUGCUGGGAUCAUAUUUCACAGAACGUAUUCAAAUUCGUGGAGGAAUAAUGAAGAUUGAGGCUACUGCUCAUUGCCAGUUUUGUCAUUCAUACUUUUAAAUUAAGAGUUUGCAUUUAUAGAACUCUGAAUAGCUGAUCAUUUACAUAGCUGAAGGACAUGUCCCUGAAUGAGACCAUUAUAUAUAUUAACUAAAAUAUUUCACUAUUUUUUUAUUUUAUAAAUCUUUGUAGAAAUAAGCAAUGAAAUGCUACUUUCAUCUUUUGAACUGGGAUUUUUCAAGGUUGUGUCCUUUUGGCAUUAAGGUAGGGGGGAGUUAAUAUUCUCUCUACUUAUUUCCACAUGAAUCAAUAUGAAGUCGUGGACAUUUAAAAAUCUCAAUUUAAUUUCUACUUAUUUACUAUGCAGUAUAGCCGUGAACAAGUAAUGUAGAUUUAGUUUUCUCAUCUUCAAAUGCCCUGAUUACCCUACCUCACAGGGUUGUUGUGGGGAUAAAUAAAACUUUUAUGGAAGUA